GAAAAAUCAAAGGUUUUUACAGAAGAAAUUACACAUAAAGAAAAAAAGGUGGAAGCAUCUAUGUAAAAAACAGCAACUGUCUUUAAAAACUGUUUUUGAAAAACCUUGUUUCAUUUUUGGAGAUUGAGGAAGUUGAUCUUUGACAGGAGAAAGAAGGCAUAAAGAAACAGGAAAACAGGGGAAAUGGAUAGAAACAAGUUAAUGUUUGCAUUGUCAUAACUGAGAAAGAGUUUACAGCAUAAAAGACAUUUACCAGAGGAUAACCCCUAGACAUGAUUUUGACCUUGUUUGGCCACAAUUUCCUCUUCUGUGAAGUAAGGAAGUUGGCUUUGAGGAUCUCUGACAGUUCCAGGCAUUGUGAGUCAAUGUCUUUCAUUGAGAGCAGAAAGGAAGAAUCGUACACUUCGGAACCCAGGAGGUUAAAGAUAAUUCUUACACACCUAUAAUUUUAGAACUGCAAAACCACUGAGAAGUAACCACAAAAACUCUAAAUGAAUAAGAGUUCAACUUGUGGGCUAGUGAUGCAUUAUUAUCCCAGAUCCACAGCUUUUCUUAUGCAGACAGUAGCAGUUAUAAAAUGUAAUGAAAGAAGAAUGUGGCUCAAAAAGAAAAACCAUGAAAUAUCUAGGAGUCAGUUAUAAAAUCACUCUGAAGGACCCAGAAAGAAACUCACUGAAGGAAGAUUAUAACCCACCACCAUUCUGGAUCUUCCUUUCAAGUAGCCCUGAAGAUCCAAUCAACUGGGCUCUAAAUCUUUUCUAAUGAACCUCCUCACCCACAAGGGGCUGGCCUUACCCUCCUUUUAUAACAGCCGGACUCCCGCCCUACCACUGGCUUUGGAUGCUCCAGCCUCUGCCUCACAGGGACGCUGCCUCCAUAGAUGUGGGCACAGGAGGGCCUCAACCCCAGAUCUGAAACCCCAGGUCUGAGCAAACCCGAGGCCAUCCGGGACCUCCGUUCCAGGACAAUGAGGCUCCUCCAUGUCUUACUCACCGCUCUCUUGAUCCUCUUCCAGACAGCACUAGGGCGCUCAAUUUUGAAAGACCCUGCCAUCUUCAGGGUGGAAUCUGCCUGAAGCAAGGGAUGCUGAGCUGUGAGCCCUUCAGAGGACCCUGCUGGGCAUUCACCAUUUGCUGCAAAAUAAAGCUGAGCUGAUGGAGGCAGCCCAGCUGAGGAACCCGGAACUUGCGAGGAGUCUCUUCUGAACCAGCCUUGAAGCUGUCUUACCUCCUCAUCUUUGUUGUCUUCUUUUCUCAAGUGAUACCAGGUUGUAGAAUGCUUAAUUUGUGUGAUUCUCACAAAGUGUGUGCCAUGGAAGAAAAGAAAUUGCCUUCAUCACAUGGUAAACACUUCUGCUGUAUGAUGGACUCAUGUUUGAUGGAACUUCCUGAAUAAAGUGAACUGAGGAAUUCACAUUAAUGGAUAAUCCCUGAA